UACGGAGGGGGCUAGCGUUGUUCGGAAUUACUGGGCGUAAAGCGCACGUAGGCGGAUAUUUAAGUCAGGGGUGAAGUCCCGGGGACUCAACCCCGGAACUGCCUUUGAUACUGGGUAUCGUGGAGGUCGAGAGAGGCGAGUGGAAUUCCGAGUGUAGAGGUGAAAUUCGUAGAUAUUCGGAGGAACACCAGUGGCGAAGGCGGCUCGCUGGCUCGAUACUGACGCUGAGGUGCGAAAGCGUGGGGAGCAAACAGG
rnacentral:rRNA from 1 species